AGAGUUUGAUCCUGGCUCAGAACGAACGCUGGCGGCAUGCCUAACACAUGCAAGUCGGACGCCUUGGGGGUUUCGGCUCCUGGGGAGUGGCGCACGGGUGAGUAGCGCGUGGGAACCUGUCCCGCCGUGGGGGAUAACCGAGGGAAACUUCGGCUAAUACCGCAUGCGCCCCUGGACUUGGUCCGGGGGGAAAGAUUUAU
rnacentral:rRNA from 1 species